rnacentral:rRNA from 1 species
UACGUAGGGGGCAAGCGUUAUCCGGAUUUACUGGGUGUAAAGGGAGCGUAGACGGCUGCGCAAGUCUGAAGUGAAAGGCAUGGGCUCAACCUGUGGACUGCUUUGGAAACUGUGCAGCUAGAGUGUCGGAGAGGUAAGUGGAAUUCCUAGUGUAGCGGUGAAAUGCGUAGAUAUUAGGAGGAACACCGGUGGCGAAGGCGGCUUACUGGACGAUGACUGACGUUGAGGCUCGAAAGCGUGGGGAGCAAACAGG